rnacentral:pre_miRNA from 1 species
AUUAUACUCCCUCUGUCCCAAAUUUCUUGUCUUAGAUUUGUCUAGAUACGGAUGUAUGAUACAUCCGUAUCUAGACAAAUCUAAGACACGAAUUUUGGGACGGAGGGAGUACAAU